AGAGUUUGAUCCUGGCUCAGGAUGAACGCUGGCGGCGUGCUUAACACAUGCAAGUCGAACGAUGAUCCCAGCUUGCUGGGGGAUUAGUGGCGAACGGGUGAGUAACACGUGAGUAACCUGCCCUUAACUCUGGGAUAAGCCUGGGAAACUGGGUCUAAUACCGGAUAUGACUCCUCAUCGCAUGGUGGGGGGUGGAAAGCUUUAUUGUGGUUUUGGAUGGACUCGCGGCCUAUCAGCUUGUUGGUGAGGUAAUGGCUCACCAAGGCGACGACGGGUAGCCGGCCUGAGAGGGUGACCGGCCACACUGGGACUGAGACACGGCCCAGACUCCUACGGGAGGCAGCAGUGGGGAAUAUUGCACAAUGGGCGAAAGCCUGAUGCAGCGACGCCGCGUGAGGGAUGACGGCCUUCGGGUUGUAAACCUCUUUCAGUAGGGAAGAAGCGAAAGUGACGGUACCUGCAGAAGAAGCGCCGGCUAACUACGUGCCAGCAGCCGCGGUAAUACGUAGGGCGCAAGCGUUAUCCGGAAUUAUUGGGCGUAAAGAGCUCGUAGGCGGUUUGUCGCGUCUGCCCGUGAAAGUCCGGGGCUCAACUCCGGAUCUGCGGUGGGUACGGGCAGACUAGAGUGAUGUAGGGGAGACUGGAAUUCCUGGUGUAGCGGUGAAAUGCGCAGAUAUCAGGAGGAACACCGAUGGCGAAGGCAGGUUUCUGGGCAUUAACUGACGCUGAGGAGCGAAAGCAUGGGGAGCGAACAGGAUUAGAUACCCUGGUAGUCCAUGCCGUAAACGUUGGGCACUAGG
rnacentral:rRNA from 1 species